rnacentral:misc_RNA from 1 species
AAUUUCUCAACCUUUAUCAGCUUUUGCUGAUGAAUGGCUUGGAUGUGGGGGUUCUUUUGCUGGCUCAGGUCGGCUCCCCUUAAAUGCAUUAGCUGGUGUACCGUGGACUUGGUGUGAUAAUUAUCUACGCCAUGUAUCGUCUGCAACAGUGUCACUGCUUCUAACCGUCUCAGACAAUUAAAAUGACA